rnacentral:lncRNA from 1 species
GGGAAGGUGGCCUUCAGAGAGGGACUGUGGUCAAACCCUGCCUUGGAAUUAGGCUGCAGUGGACUUGUAAAAUUGAUUAUAUACUGAAAAUCAAGGGAAGUACAUCAAGGCAAUAGACUUGAUAAAAGUACAUGGAAGGAAUGAAGAGUCUCAAGAAAACACUGUAUCUGCAAAUACAAGGAUGCUCCUUGGCUGAAAAGAGCAAGUGAUUUGGACUCCACAGACCUUAGAAACAGAUGGAAAGGUCUGGAACCCUGACACAAGAUGGAGACAUUGGCACUGGAUAAGCUGCCAUGGAAAGCUGCUGAUGGAGAGCACAUCCACUCUCAGUAAGCUCCUGUCUUACCCUCUCUUUCUCUUAGCACUCAC